rnacentral:tmRNA from 1 species
GGGGGCGUUACGGAUUCGACGACGGUAGUAAACCCUAAGGUGCAUGCCGUGAUGGUAGCCAAUCACGUAAAUCCAAAGCUGCAAACUAUUAGUUGCCAAUGACGACAACUACGGUGCCCAACUCGCUGCGUAAGUAGCCUGUGAAAGCACCAUCUAGUGGCUUCGGCCCUAGCGGUCUCUAGCAAGGUUCCAGCCCCGCGUUAGUGACUGUCAUAUAGAACUGGAUCGCAGCAAGGUAGGCUCCGGGCUACGCUGCUAAACAAUUACGGAGAUCGCCAAUCACGUCCUGACCGUUGGGCUGUGUGCGGUUAAAUCAGUAAACGGAAACUAAGCAUGUAGAGCCGAAGGCAGAGCACUGGCGGACGCGGGUUCAACUCCCGCCGCCUCCACCA